AUGGGGGUGAAAAUAGAUCGUUCAGUAAAUAAUGGUGGUGGUCCAAACAUUUUUAAAAUCGCCGGCGGUAUAUGUCAUCAGAUGGGAUCUCUUUUGCCACAGGAAGGGAAUGCUCCAAAAUUUGCAGAGCUGUAUGUGUUUCAUGGUGGAAAUGAGAUUGAUAAUCGAAUUCAGGCUUUAAACAAGGAAGAUAGAAUUCUGGGUGGGUUAGAUAAGGAUAUUGUUAAUGGUCUGAAGCUCAUGCUUGAUGAGCACAAUUCUCUUGUAAAAAAAUUCCGCAUCGCUGAGGAGAUCUUGGCUGAGAUGAAUGCUGAAAUUUCUAUUCGUAUAGUUGCUCCUGGCAAAGAUGAUGGCCCUCAGUUUAAUCUUCCUUCCACGGAUGAGCUUGCAUGCUUAGUUGUUGAUGAAUUAACAAUGGAAACUCCUAGCCGUGAUAUAAUAAUACAUGGUAGGGGAACACAUUUGCAGCAAAUUUCGUCUUUACAUCCUGCUUAUAUGGCUUUACAAUACCCUCUACUCUUUCCGUUCGGUGAGCGUGGAUUUCAGCUUGGUGUGAAAUACAUAGCGGUAGAUCACGAAGGUUCCAACAAAAGAGAGAAAAUGACCAUGCAGGAUUUUUAUUGUUUUUGUUCACACUAUAAAGAAGGCCAGCAUAACCCUUGUUUGUCUUGUGGUCUGUUGUCUGAUCAGGCAGUUGUAGAUUCUCGUGUAUGCACAGAUGAGUCUAGGCUACAUUUUAUUUUGCUAUGCAACGAUGAUCUGAGAGCUGAGAAUUUACAAGGGCUUGUAGAUGCGGUUGGAGCGGGCCGCAUAGAUGGAAGUUCAGUUGGUAAAAAAAAUAUUGCCCUCUUCUUUUACUGGUGGACGCCGUUAUAUGAUCGAAAAUUUUCAGGAUGCGGUGGCUAUCGCCCGUGUGCAUGGUUGUCCUGA
rnacentral:rRNA from 1 species